rnacentral:tRNA from 1 species
GCCCGUAUGGUGUAGCCUGGAUAGCAUAUGAGCUUGCGGAGCUUACGACCCGAGUCCGAAUCUCGGUACGGGCA